rnacentral:rRNA from 1 species
UACGGAGGAUGCGAGCGUUAUCCGGAUUUAUUGGGUUUAAAGGGUGCGUAGGCGGAUUUGUAAGUCAGCGGUAAAAAUGCGGUGCUCAACGCCGUAUCGCCGUUGAAACUGCGGGUCUUGAGUGAGCGAGAAGUAUGCGGAAUGCGUGGUGUAGCGGUGAAAUGCGUAGAUAUUAGGAAGAACACCAGUGGCGAAGGCGGGUUACUGGACGACAACUGACGGUGAGGCGCGAAAGCGUGGGGAGCAAACAGG